AUUGCGUUUGUGCAGUGACAUUCUUAUUAACGCCAGUAUUUCUGGGAAGAGCUGGCAGUUAAAGUGUUAAAGAAUCUUGCAGAGUGAUUUCUAUCUUCACAUGGUCUUUCCAUUGGAGCUGUUUUGGAGGCUCGACUGGUGCCGUACAUGAUGAUCGAGACUUCCACGACGAUGGUGUGGAGGCGGGCACGGACGGGUCGACUGGCCGCGCCUAUGCCUUGGCUCGCCUCGUCAGCGAGCGCCCCUGCACGUCCGGGAUGGAGGUCGUUGAUGGUGGUGGUGCUUGCUCCUUCUUCUGGCGAAAGUGCAUCAGCGAAAUAGUGUUUGCAAUCUCACCAAAAUUACUUAAGUCGUGGACAGGUGGCAAAGAAGUUGGUGCAACAACACUUUGUAGAAUUCAAUAGUUUAGCGUGUCUAAAUUUGUGCACACAAUCCAACGCCAAACGUAGAAUCAUAACAAGAAGUUGACGGACUCCAAAGGCACGGGGAAGAAAUCACGCCUGCUGGAAGAGAAGCGGAAGAACUCUGCACGUUAAGCAGCUAAAGGCGUGCAAUGGCGGCAUGCGGACCAGAUUUACACGGAUUGGUUCAACUCGCUCUGUCAGGGGCCUGUGCUGGAGGAACUGACCCAGCCGUCAGUCCAGUUCUGUCAUUUUGCCCUGUUGUUAUACAUGCAUGAUCAGAAUACAUUUUA